rnacentral:rRNA from 1 species
UACAGAGGUCUCAAGCGUUGUUCGGAUUCAUUGGGCGUAAAGGGUGCGUAGGCGGCGGGGCAAGUCGGAUGUGAAAUCUCAGGGCCCAACCCUGAAACUGCAUUCGAUACUGCCUUGCUCGAGGACUGGAGAGGAGAUUGGAAUUCACGGUGUAGCAGUGAAAUGCGUAGAUAUCGUGAGGAAGACCAGUGGCGAAGGCGGAUCUCUGGACAGUUCCUGACGCUGAGGCACGAAGGCCAGGGGAGCAAACGGG